rnacentral:piRNA from 1 species
UCACCGAUCAUCCAGAUUCAG